GACAGAGGUGCCGAGCGUUAGGCGGAAUCACUGGGCUUAAAGCGUGUGUAGGCGGAUCUGUAAGUACCUUGUGAAAUCCCACGGCUCAACCGUGGAACUGCUUGGUAUACUGCGGGUCUUGAGCCACCUAGGGGCAAGUGGAACAAACGGUGGAGCGGUGAAAUGCGUAGAUAUCGUUUGGAACACCAAUGGUGAAAACAACUUGCUGGGGGUGUGCUGACGCUGAGACACGAAAGCCAGGGGAGCAAACGGG
rnacentral:rRNA from 1 species